GAUGAACGCUGGCGGCGUGCCUAAUACAUGCAAGUCGAGCGAACAGACGAGGAGCUUGCUCCUCUGACGUUAGCGGCGGACGGGUGAGUAACACGUGGAUAACCUACCUAUAAGACUGGGAUAACUUCGGGAAACCGGAGCUAAUACCGGAUAAUAUAUUGAACCGCAUGGUUCAAUAGUGAAAGACGGUUUUGCUGUCACUUAUAGAUGGAUCCGCGCCGCAUUAGCUAGUUGGUAAGGUAACGGCUUACCAAGGCAACGAUGCGUAGCCGACCUGAGAGGGUGAUCGGCCACACUGGAACUGAGACACGGUCCAGACUCCUACGGGAGGCAGCAGUAGGGAAUCUUCUGCAAAGGGCGAAAGCCUGACGGAGCAACGCCGCGUGAGUGAUGAAGGUCUUCGGAUCGUAAAACUCUGUUAUUAGGGAAGAACAAAUGUGUAAGUAACUAUGCACGUCUUGACGGUACCUAAUCAGAAAGCCACGGCUAACUACGUG
rnacentral:rRNA from 1 species